CUUCCAAGGAUGGGCUCAUCUCUUAUGACCUCACAGCUGAAGUUUCCUAAGACAUCCCCAAAACACCUUUUCUCACAGUGAACUGCCCUCUGGAUAUAGUUUAUAUUUAUCAGCAUAUUCCUGCUCAUGCACCCUGCCUGAACACAAGCUAAUGGAUAUGGAUAAACUGUGGACCAUGCUAUGUCACCAAGGCUUCCUGCACAACCUGUCAGUCUCGUGCCAUGGAUGGAAUUCUUUCUUCUCACUUUUGGUUGGUCACCACCAAGAGACUGCCGUGCGCAGACUGCAGCUUUCCUUCUGCUGAAUUAUUGUAAACUAUGGGGGCUUUUGCCUCUGUUGCUGAAAACAUCUCGUGGGAAGCAAACAUUGCUAAUGCUGUCAGUUCCCAAGGUUUUAUCGUAAAUCCUGUGCAUUUAAUAAAAAUAAAAAGCCAUGUGCAUUGGAAGAUAAA